rnacentral:tRNA from 1 species
GCCUAGAUAGCUCAGUGGUAGAGCAUUGGUCUGAAAAACCUUGUGUCGAUGGUUCAAUUCCUUCUCUGGGCG